CAGUCUUUGUAUGGAUUUUUUUAUAGAAACUAGAUGAUUUUAUGUGGCUGUGAGCGAUUUGAGGAAUAUCCUCUCCAAGUGUUAAACCAAAGAAGAUCAAAAUCCAAUUAGUUUGGUAAUCAUCUAUAAUCUAUCUUGAUCAUACCGUUAGAUCUAGGAUUUCAGCAUCGAUGAGAUCGAUGUGUAUUUUUAUUUUCAGAUCUAAAAUAUAUCAUAUUUUAUAUUUUCUUUAUUGCAUGAUAGUCUAGAUUAGAUC
rnacentral:lncRNA from 1 species